AUGUACCACGCGUCCACUGCGGUUGUGAGCGCGCCGUCCGCGCCCAACUGACGGCCGCUCGCUCCGUUGUGGUAGCC
rfam:Xanthomonas oryzae pv. oryzae KACC10331, complete genome.